GGGCGUGCUAAUGGGCGGCCGGCGCUGUGGGCUGAUGUUCUGCGCUGAUCGGUUCUCAUUCGCAUGCAGGGUAAAGGAGGCGAGAGAUCCACAUCUCUAGCUGAACAGCCGCCCGAGGAAAUGUCUCCUCCCUACCCAGCCAGAAGUUUGAUCCUUCCGAUCGAAGAGGUACCGUAUCAGGUCUCACCAUAAUCAAAUCCCAUCCAUCUGCUUUUUCUUAAUUCAGACAUGCUGGAGUACAUAUGUUUCCAUUCAUCUGGAUUUUCUACGAAUCAUUGUCAAAGCAGAUCCCAUUCACCGGUGAGAUGGCCAAAUUUUGGUAGUUAAACUUACGUACCACCUCUUUGGUUCCAUCGUACCAAUUACUCGCCAGUAAUUUUGGAGUAGGUACUUAUCUGCAAUCUAAGAUUUCAACCCACGUUAAUCUAGUCUGAUUGAUUCUGAAUGUCAAAUCCUUGCUAGCUAGGAUGUCAAAUAUGUACGAUUCACACAACUAUGCUGACAAAACUACUACAUAAGAAUAGUAGUACUAGUUUAGCUUCGUACAACUACCUGUUCCAAGACAUUCUAGUAUCUUGUGGGUGUGUUAUGUUUGCUGGCCCUGAUGUAUAUCUUUGGGUCGAGAAAUGUGUGUGUAGGUCAGGGGGAAAAGGCAGCAAUUGAGGCAAUGAACUGACACAUAUGACCCGUGGAAUGGUGUAUUUCCUAAUGGAUUGUUCUUUUCAAUUCUAUAUAUCUACAAUAAGAUCUUACCAUGAUAUUUCCUCAAAGUUGUGUCGAUUUAAUGGCACAUAUCCAGAUUUUUCUUUAACUGAUGGUAGAUUUGCCAUCUUAUCUUGUUCCUGAAUCAUGUUGUAUGUGUCGCCUUGGCAUUUUAGUUCUCCAUAUAAUGAUUUAUGAACACAUAGGCGUUGAUGUGGAUUUUAGAUUUACUUAGUCUUUACUUUAAGUUGAUAAACCGUUCCUCUUGGUUAACUUGUAGAGUUGAUUACUAAAGCAAGUUAUCACAAAUAGCAGUGAAUUGUAUUCAAAGAUUUAGAAGUACUAGUCUGUAUAACCCUGUGCAUAAAAGGUGCAAAACAAUAGUCAUUUUAUUUUUGUUCAUUUUUACUUUUCAGUUUCCAUUUGCAAGACGUAUGGUUGGAAAAGGAUUGAAGUACUGGUGUAACACUAAUAAUUCUUACUAAGAUGUGAUUUCUAUGUCAAUGUGUAGAUGAUUCCUGAACAAGUAAGUUUGUUCCUUUUAGCUCAAUUAAAUGUCAGUUGCAUUAUAUCAUUUUUCAUCUCUCUUAUAACAAGUCUUAUAGUUUCUUAGGUAUUGGUAAGUCAUAUUGGAGAUAAAUUGAGUUGUGAUAAUGCUAUGAUACUAAUGAUGACAAUGGUACCUAUGGCAAUGUGGGAGAUUAUAUAUAUGGCGAUGGGCAUUACGAUCAAGACGACGAUAAUGGUGAUGAGUCUGAUGAUCUUCGAGUCAUGCAACCAAGUGAAGUUAUGAAGUUCAUGGACAAUUUAGCUUAUGCACAAUGUUUGGACCAUUAUAUCUUAGUCAUUAUUUUGUUUUUCAUUUGACACUUCUUAGAUGCGUCGGUAUGGCCAAUGUAAUAUUGAUUCACCUCAUUAGACAUGUUAUACUUCUUGUUGUUAUGCUAAAUAAAAUAUAUUUUCUUUGAUCAUGUGUAGUUGUGUGAUUCUGAGAUGUAUUUGAAAGGCCAAUAUUUUGAAAUACUAUCGUCAUGAAUCACAAUUUCUUG
rnacentral:lncRNA from 1 species